AGGACAAACGCUGGCGGCGUGCCUAAGACAUGCAAGUCGGACGGGGGGCUUUCGGGCCUCGAGUGGCGGACGGGUGAGGAGCGCGUGGAGAACCUGCCCUGGGAUGGGGGAUACCAGCCAGAAAUGGCUGUUAAGACCGCAUACGAUUGUCUGCCGGUAAGGGAGACAAGGAAAGCCGUAAGGCGUCCUGGGAGGGGUCCGCGUCGGAUUAGCUAGUUGGUGGGGUAAGGCCUACCAAGGCGACGAUCCGUAGCUGGUCUGAGAGGACGGCCAGCCACACUGGGACUGAGACACGGCCCAGACUCCUACGGGAGGCAGCAGUUAGGGAAUUUUGACAAUGGGCGCAAGCCUGAUCGAGUGACGCCGCGUGUGGGAUGACGCCUUUCGGGGUGUAAACCACUUUUCUUGGGGACGAGAACGGACGGUACCCGAGGAAGAAGCCUCGGCUAACUACGUGCCAGCAGCCGC
rnacentral:rRNA from 1 species